GUACGUUUAACGGGCCAUCAAAUUUGGCUCUGUACCGUAUCUUUGCCUUACGAUGUUACAUUUGUCGUCCUCUCUAUUAUUUAUUUAUUUUACAAUAAAAUUAGAUUUAUGUUAAAAUUAUUUAAUUAUAUGAUGAUAUAUUAUUAUAUAUAUAAAUGGUAUAACUUCCCGAUAAAGCAAAGCAAGUUAUUUUAAUUGCAUUUUGUUUUUCUUCAAGGUUCGUUGCGUUGCGUUUUGUUUUGUUUGUCGUACAAGGGUAGAUAAAAAUGUUUUCCAAAACUUUGGAUAUGCUGAAGAAAGAUCUUUCCUUUGAACACGGAUUUCUUGUCUUGUCUGGAAAUGUUAAGACCGGUCUUGUUCUUGUUGAUGUUGUUAAUGGUUUCUGUACCGUCGGUUCUGACAACUUGGCUCCAAACAGCCUGAUAAACAAAUAUCUCAUAUGGUAGAGGAGUCUGUGAAACUUGCCAGAGUGUUUUGUGAAAAGAAAUGGCCUGUUUUUGCUUUUCUUGAUUCUCAUCAUCCUGAUAUUCCUGACUCCUCAUUGCGUCAUUGGAACUGAUGAAGCUGAGCUAGUUCCCGGAUUUGAUGCAUCACAUUGGACUCUACAUGGCAAAGGGAAGGGGAGCCAAGGUAGUAUCAGAGGUGUCCUUUGGUGCAGUGAAAGAGCCAUGAUCGUAAUCCCAUCUCUGGUUUCUAGUGUAUUCUCAUAUUUGCAAGGCGUAAGUGUUGGAUGGUAAAUAUAAUUUACUUCUUAAUACUUUGUUAAAAAUUGAUAUGUUUUAGUGGUGGAUGUGAAAGUUGAAAUGGUUUUUAUAUUUGGGUUGGAUUUCUGGAAUGACUACUGUUGUGUAAAGAUGCUAAUAUACUUGUUUCUUGUAAAUUUUAUAGAAAAUUCAUGUAUCAUGCAUGGUUUAUAACCAAA